rnacentral:rRNA from 1 species
UCGUAACAGGUUUCCGUAGGUAGCAUGUUUGCCUGCCGGGAGUCCUCACAGCGACUCUAAAGAAUUGUGUUAGUCGCCCCUCGAUUUGGGGCUGGCAACGCCAUCAUUCUGCGCUGGAAGUCCCCCAAUUGAGGGGGCAAUCAGCAGCUCCGGAGACCCCUCCGGAGUUCACAGAUCAAACGAUAGCGGCCACUUCGGUGGUUGAGAUAUGAUCGGCCUCUGCCAUCAACCGGCCAGAGAGUUCGUGGAACCUGCGGAAGGAUCAUUA